rnacentral:rRNA from 1 species
UACGGAGGAUCCGAGCGUUAUCCGGAUUUAUUGGGUUUAAAGGGUGCGCAGGCGGGAGAUUAAGUCGGCGGUGAAAUUUUGCAGCUCAACUGUAAAAGUGCCUUCGAAACUGGUUUCCUUGAGUGUGGAUGAAGUAGGCGGAAUUUGUGGUGUAGCGGUGAAAUGCAUAGAUAUCACGAGGAACUCCGAUUGCGCAGGCAGCUUACUAAACCAUAACUGACGCUCAGGCACGAAGGCGUGGGAUCAAACAGGAUUAGAUACCCGCGUAGU